GAUGAACGCUGGCGGCGUGCCUAAUACAUGCAAGUCGAGCGAACAGACGAGGAGCUUGCUCCUCUGACGUUAGCGGCGGACGGGUGAGUAACACGUGGAUAACCUACCUAUAAGACUGGGAUAACUUCGGGAAACCGGAGCUAAUACCGGAUAACAUGUUGAACCGCAUGGUUCAACAGUGAAAGACGGUCUUGCUGUCACUUAUAGAUGGAUCCGCGCCGCAUUAGCUAGUUGGUAAGGUAACGGCUUACCAAGGCAACGAUGCGUAGCCGACCUGAGAGGGUGAUCGGCCACACUGGAACCGAGACACGGUCCAGACUCCUACGGGAGGCAGCAGUAGGGAAUCUUCCGCAAUGGGCGAAAUCCUGACGGAGCAACGCCGCGUGAGUGAAGAAGGUCUUCGGAUCGUAAAACUCUGUUAUUAGGGAAGAACAAAUGUGUAAGUAACUAUGCACGUCUUGACGGUACCUAAUCAGAAAGCCACGGCUAACUACGUG
rnacentral:rRNA from 1 species